UGCAGUCGAACGAUGAUCUCCCGCUUGCGGGGGUGAUUAGUGGCGAACGGGUGAGUAAUACGUGAGUAACCUGCCCUUGACUCUGGGAUAAGCCUGGGAAACCGGGUCUAAUACUGGAUACGACUCCUCAUCGCAUGGUGGGGGGUGGAAAGGGUUUGACUGGUUUUGGAUGGGCUCACGGCCUAUCAGCUUGUUGGUGGGGUAAUGGCUCACCAAGGCGACGACGGGUAGCCGGCCUGAGAGGGUGACCGGCCACACUGGGACUGAGACACGGCCCAGACUCCUACGGGAGGCAGCAGUGGGGAAUAUUGCACAAUGGGCGGAAGCCUGAUGCAGCGACGCCGCGUGAGGGAUGACGGCCUUCGGGUUGUAAACCUCUUUCAGCAGGGAAGAAGCCACAAGUGACGGUACCUGCAGAAGAAGCGCCGGCUAACUACGUGCCAGCAGCCGCGGUAAUACGUAGGGCGCAAGCGUUGUCCGGAAUUAUUGGGCGUAAAGAGCUCGUAGGCGGUUUGUCGCGUCUGCUGUGAAAGCCCGGGGCUCAACCCC
rnacentral:rRNA from 1 species